UGAGGUCCCGAAAAGCGUUGGGGAGCGAACAGGGAUUUAGAUACCCCUGGUAGUCCCACGCCCGUAAACCGAUGGACACUAGGUACCAGGGAGUAUCAACCCCUUUUCUGUGCCGUAGUUAACCGCAUUAAGUGUCCCCGCCUGGGGAGUACGGUCGCAAGGCUAAAACUCCAAAGGAAUUGACGGGGGCCCGCACAAGCCAGCCGGAGGCGUGUGGUUUAAUUUCGAUGCAACACGAAGAACCUUACCCAGGGCUUGACAUGUCGGAAGUAGCGACCCGAAAGGUGAGCGACCUGUUAAGUCCAGGAGCCGUCACAGGUGCUGCAUGGCUGUCGUCAGCUCGUGCCCGUGAGGUGUUAGGUUAAGUCCCUGCAACGAGCGCAACCCCUGUUGUCAGUUGAUUUCUCUGGCAAGACUGCCUCGAAAACGAGGAGGAAGGUGGGGAUGACGUCAAGUCAGCAUGGCCCUUAACGUCCUGGGCUACACACACGCU
rnacentral:rRNA from 1 species